rnacentral:tRNA from 2 species
GGGCGGGUAGCUCAGCGGUAGAGCGGCGGUUUUACACACCGCUGGUCGCAGGUUCGAUCCCUGUCCCGCCCA